AGCCUUGUAUUCAUUUUGUGAUAACAGAAUGCAAUUCUGUAGGGGUAAGUAAAUAUAAGCUUACCAAGGCCU
rnacentral:tRNA from 1 species